rnacentral:misc_RNA from 1 species
GAUGAAGAACGUAGCGAAAUGCGAUAAGUAAUGUGAAUUGCAGAAUUCAGUGAAUCAUCGAAUCUUUGAACGCACAUUGCGCCCCUUGGUAUUCCGAGGGGCAUGCCUGUUCGAGCGUCAUUACACCACUCAAGCUAUGCUUGGUAUUGGGCGUCGUCCUUAGUUGGGCGCGCCUUAAAGACCUCGGCGAGGCCACUCCGGCUUUAGGCGUAGUAGAAUUUAUUCGAACGUCUGUCAAAGGAGAGGAACUCUGCAGACUGAAACCUUUAUUUUUCUAGGUUGACCUCGGAUCAGGUAGGGAUACCCGCUGAACUUAAGCAUAUCAAUAAGCGGAGGA